GGGGAAUAUUGCGCAAUGGGGGGAACCCUGACGCAGCAACGCCGCGUGAGUGAAGAAGGCCUUCGGGUCGUAAAGCUCUGUCAUUGGGGACGAGAAAAGACGGUACCCAAGGAGGAAGCCACGGCUAACUACGUGCCAGCAGCCGCGGUAAUACGUAGGUGGCGAGCGUUUGUCCGGAAUUACUGGGCGUAAAGGGUGCGUAGGCGGGAUAUUAAGUUAGAUGUGAAAACCCUGAGCUUAACUUGGGGACUGCAUUUAAAACUGGUAACCUAGAGUGCAGGAGAGGUAAGCGGAAUUCCUGGUGUAGCGGUGAAAUGCGUAGAUAUUAGGAAGAACAUCAGUGGCGAAGGCGGCUUACUGGACUGUAACUGACGCUGAUGCACGAAAGCGUGGGGAGCAAACA
rnacentral:rRNA from 2 species